rnacentral:rRNA from 1 species
GAGUUUGAUCCUGGCUCAGGAUGAACGCUAGCGGCAGGCCUAAUACAUGCAAGUCGAACGGUAACAUGAGUAGCAAUACUUGAUGACGAGUGGCGCACGGGUGCGUAACGCGUAUGCAAUCUACCUUCAACUGGUGAAUAGCCCGAAGAAAUUCGGAUUAAUACACCAUAGUAUAUUUGAGUGGCAUCACUUAAAUAUUAAAACUCCGGUGGUUGAAGAUGAGCAUGCGUGACAUUAGCUAGUUGGUGAGGUAACGGCUCACCAAGGCUACGAUGUCUAGGGGAUCUGAGAGGAUUAACCCCCACACUGGUACUGAGACACGGACCAGACUCCUACGGGAGGCAGCAGUAAGGAAUAUUGGACAAUGGUCGCAAGACUGAUCCAGCCAUGCCGCGUGCAGGAUGACAGCCCUAUGGGUCGUAAACUGCUUUUGUGCGAGAAAAAACCCCUCUACGUGUAGAGGGCUGAUUGUAUCGUAAGAAUAAGGAUCGGCUAAC